rnacentral:sRNA from 2 species
GAAAUUUAAUAUUUGCCUUCCUAAGUCAAAUUACAUAGUUUAUGCUAGUAUUCAAGAUGCUUCACAGUUGUCUGGAAUGCAAAAAACAAACCUCAGGCCUGAGAAAUCACUAUAUAUACAAAUAUGACUGACAAUAUAACAAUAUACACGACAAUAUCGCUUCUCCGUCAACUUGCAUCAGCCACGGGGUUCGGAUAUGCGUACCGAUCGAGUUGAGUAUCCUGAAAGCGUUCUAACACUUUGGGAGUUUUUCUAAGGUCAUCGUUAGUUCUGUUGUCUUGCAGGAGGGAAGAACGGGAAACAUACUACUGGAGCAGUUAUUAUCCGUGAAAUAUCCAUUGACAUAACAUGUAGUCCCGUACAGGGUUACUCGAUCCCAGGUUUGCGCCGAUUUGCGUUUCUCUAGAUGCAUUUCAGGCUCUGCCACAGGGUCUGCGACGGGGAAAGCUGUGGAGAGAAAGGGGAGGCACCAGAGUAAAGUGACGAAGAGGCUGAAGAAGUCCAUUUUUGUGAGAAAUUGGAUAUAAACGUUGAGAGAGAGUUUUUUGUUGAUAAAUGGCAUUUUGUAGAUGGACCCUUUAUCGAGAUGCCGUUCACUUUUAUAUACAUUUGUAGUGGACACCACAGGAGUCUCCAUCUCGUAUUUUAUUUAGCAUUGCCCGUCCCGUGUUGUUUGGAGAUUGCUGAGUAGCGCCGAGUCGUUCAUCGGAUGUUCCAUCUCGUAUCUGAGUCCCAAUUUAGACCUCGUAAUUUCAUUAUUGGAAGGAUUUCUUGCUUUCUUUGAAACGGAGCAUCAGAAAAUUCUGACCUGAGGCCAGUAUCACAGUGAUAUCCUUUCGACAGGGUUGAAAGGCGAGUGGGGU